GCGAAAGCCGAAGUGGUACGAAAAUCUGCUUCUCGACAGAGAGUACGGGUUCAAGUCCCGUCGUCCGCACCA
rnacentral:tRNA from 1 species